AGGAUGAACGCUGGCGGCGUGCUUAACACAUGCAAGUCGAACGGUGAAGCCAAGCUUGCUUGGUGGAUCAGUGGCGAACGGGUGAGUAACACGUGAGCAACCUGCCCUGGACUCUGGGAUAAGCGCUGGAAACGGUGUCUAAUACUGGAUAUGAGACGUGAUCGCAUGGUCGUGUUUGGAAAGAUUUUUCGGUCUGGGAUGGGCUCGCGGCCUAUCAGCUUGUUGGUGAGGUAAUGGCUCACCAAGGCGUCGACGGGUAGCCGGCCUGAGAGGGUGACCGGCCACACUGGGACUGAGACACGGCCCAGACUCCUACGGGAGGCAGCAGUGGGGAAUAUUGCACAAUGGGCGGAAGCCUGAUGCAGCAACGCCGCGUGAGGGAUGACGGCCUUCGGGUUGUAAACCUCUUUUAGCAGGGAAGAAGCGAAAGUGACGGUACCUGCAGAAAAAGCGCCGGCUAACUACGUGCCAGCAGCCGCGGUAAUACGUAGGGCGCAAGCGUUAUCCGGAAUUAUUGGGCGUAAAGAGCUCGUAGGCGGUUUGUCGCGUCUGCUGUGAAAUCCCGAGGCUCAACCUCGGGCCUGCAGUGGGUACGGGCAGACUAGAGUGCGGUAGGGGAGAUUGGAAUUCCUGGUGUAGCGGUGGAAUGCGCAGAUAUCAGGAGGAACACCGAUGGCGAAGGCAGAUCUCUGGGCCGUAACUGACGCUGAGGAGCGAAAGGGUGGGGAGCAAACAGGCUUAGAUACCCUGGUAGUCCACCCCG
rnacentral:rRNA from 1 species